CUUAGUUCGUGGAGUGAUCUGUCUGCUUAAUUGCGUUUCAAAAUUUAACUUGAGGACCGGGUUUUGGUUUGGCUAGUGGUUCUACGAUGACUGUGAACUGUCAUGUCUUCGGAUGUGCGACUAUUGGUCUAGGAUCACAUGACUUGCCCCUGGGACUCUUUUGAACGCAACGGACGUGAUUGCAACCCCUUGUUGAGAUUAGAGAUAGUCUCGAUAUUCACUGGACAAACUGGCUGCUUUAUGCAGUCUUGUUGAAUGGUGGAUAAACUCGGGGGACUGCUGACUAUAACCAUUUCUCAAAACAGAGGAAGGUUGCGGCAAUAACAGGUCUGUGAUGCCCUCAGAUGUCCCGGGCUGCACACGUGCUACAAUGAGUGGCGCAAUGUGCUAAUGUUUAAGGGAUAAGAGUGUGGUCAGUAGAACGUCGGGAUUUCCCCUGACGUCUCCCCCGCACGAUUAUCAGCCUUCCCUUAACAGGGCGGGCAACCUUUUCAAAAUACUGGUUUGAUGUUAAAGUAUUGAGUCGUUUUUUUUGGAUGGUGGUUUGUUAACCAAUACCAUCCGGCAACUGCUCGCGAGUUUGUGGUUCUGGCGACUCAUGGU
rnacentral:rRNA from 1 species